GGCUCACGUUGACUGGGCGUCCGC
rnacentral:miRNA from 1 species